CGAGGUUUUGUUUCUGCUGCGGGAGAGGAGCGAGGGAGAAUAGGCAGCGAGGGAGAGUAGGCAGCGAGGGAGAAUAGGCAGCGAGGGAGAGUAGGAAUCUGGAUAUUUUCUCGACGUAUUCUCCCGAAAACAACGACGAGGCGACAAAAGCACGGGAAGAAGAAAGAAGUUGUGAGAAGAAGAAGAAGACGCGGAGGUCGGGCGCAGGGCGAGAAGGAAAGGCGCAGUCAUCACUUGUGGCGUCCUGUUGGGCGGUCGGUGAGCGCUCGGACCACGUCUGCAGAGAGCCAGUCCACACAGCUACACACAGCCCAGCCCUUCAGGAGCGGCAACGUGCCCCCUGGUCAAGUGCAUACGAGGUCCUUGUCUCGGAUCGGUUCGGGCCAGUGUUGAAGCUCAGCUGCAGCGCCGUGGCUCCAGAGGUGGAGCAAGGAGCAGCCAGACACACAGACUGAGCCGACACUAAAACGAUGGACAGCUCCCUGCACCUCCCAUCUCUCUCCUCCUCUCUUUGGACUGAGCUCAAAGCAAUUAGUUAG